rnacentral:rRNA from 1 species
CCUACGGGUGGCAGCAGUGAGGAAUAUUGGUCAAUGGCCGGAAGUCUGAACCAGCCAAGCCGCGUGAAGGAUGAAGGUGCUAUGGAUUGUAAACUUCUUUUGUCUAGGGAUAAAACCAGGUAUGCAUGCCCUCUUGUGUGUACCAUAUGAAAAAGCAUCGGCUAACUCCGUGCCAGCAGCCGCGGUAAUACGGAGGAUCCGAGCGUUAUCCGGAUUUAUUGGGUUUAAAGGGUGCGUAGGGGGGUUGUUAAGUCAGCGGUAAAAGGUUGGGGCUCAACCCAGGAGAGCCGUUGAAACUGGCAGUCUUGAGAUGUGGAGAGGUAUGCGGAAUGCGCGGUGUAGCGGUGAAAUGCUUAGAUAUUGCGAAGAACUCCGAUUGCGAAGGCAGCAUACCGGAGGGGAUCUGACGCUGAGGCACGAAAGCGUGGGUAUCGAACAGGAUUAGAUACCCCAGUAGUC